rnacentral:rRNA from 1 species
GACGAACGCUGGCGGCGUGCUUAACACAUGCAAGUCGAACGGAAAGGCCCUGCUUUUGUGGGGUGCUCGAGUGGCGAACGGGUGAGUAACACGUGAGUAUCCUGCCCUUGACUUUGGGAUAACUUCAGGAAACUGGGGCUAAUACCGGAUAGGAGCUCCUGCUGCAUGGUGGGGGUUGGAAAGUUUCGGCGGUUGGGGAUGGACUCGCGGCUUAUCAGCUUGUUGGUGGAGUAGUGGCUUACCAAGGCUUUGACGGGUAGCCGGCCUGAGAGGGUGGCCGGCCACAUUGGGACUGCGAUACGGACCAGACUCCUACGGGAGGCAGCAGUGGGGAAUAUUACACAAUGGGCGGAAGCCUGAGGCAGAAACGCCGCGUGCGGGAUGACGGCCUUCGGGUUGUAAACCGCUUUCGCCUGUGACGAAGCGUGAGUGACGGUAAUGGGUAAAGAAGCACCGGCUAACUACGUG